rnacentral:rRNA from 1 species
GUGCCAGCCGCCGCGGUAAUACGUAGGGUGCAAGCGUUAAUCGGAAUUACUGGGCGUAAAGGGUACGCAGGCGGCUAGGAAAGAAGGAUGUGGAAUCCCAGGGCUCAACCUUGGAACUGCAUUCUUAACUGCCUAGCUAGAGUAUGUCAGAGGGGGGUAGAAUUCCACGUGUAGCAGUGAAAUGCGUAGAUAUGUGGAGGAAUACCGAUGGCGAAGGCAGCCCCCUGGGAUAAUACUGACGCUCAGGUACGAAAGCGUGGGGAGCAAACAGGAUUAGAUACCCGGGUAGUCC